CCACAGCCAACCGAGAGUAGGCGGUGAAUCAACCGAGGCUAGGAGGUUCACAGUUCCUCAACUACACACAUCGUAGUAAUUCGUUCGUUUUGCACCCCCGAAACGGUUAAUUCUGCGGCUGGUGGAUUAGAGUCCUUUAGCCGUUUUGAAAACCUAUAUGAAAGGUAAUUCCUCCAUCGCUAUCCCCUAAAUCGCAUAAAGCUCUCCGCACAACAGUUGCUGCUGGCACGCCACGAUUGGGAACGUAAUAAUCUUAUAUAACUUAUAUUCGCAUGCCUGCAUGUGACGAAUAAAUUCAUCUCACCAUCCAACCCAA